GAUGAACGCUAGCGGCAGGCCUAACACAUGCAAGUCGAGGGAGAAGCCCUUUCGGGGGCCGAAACCGGCGCACGGGUGCGUAACGCGUAUGCAACCUACCUUUCACAGGGGGCUAGCCCGAAGAAAUUUGGAUUAAUACCCCAUAAUCUUAUUGGAUGGCAUCAUUUGAUAAUUAAAACUGCGGUGGUGAAAGAUGGGCAUGCGUCCUCUUAGAUAGUUGGAGUGGUAACGUCACCCCAAGGCUACGAUAGGUAGGGGUGCUGAGAGGGAGAUCCCCCACACGGGUACUGAGACAGGGACCAGGCGACUACGGGAGGCAGCAGUGAGGAAUAUUGGUCAAUGGUCGGAAGACUGAACCAGCCAUGCCGCGUGCAGGAAGAAUGCCUUAUGGGUUGUAAACUGCUUUUAGAGGGGAAGAAUAAGGCGUACGUGUACGUUGAUGACGGUACCAGAUGAAUAAGCAUCGGCUAACUCCGUG
rnacentral:rRNA from 1 species